GCCCCACAUCACAGAGGCAAGAGGCUGCCUUAGCCGGGGACCUGCUUCUAGCUCUGUCCUUCACUAGAAUGAGUCUGGGAAGGAGCAGACCUCUAAGUCUCCCAAGUAUUCUUCAUUUGUUAAACAAAGAAACCCUGGACUGGGCGAUUUCUGAAGCCUCUCCAGUUAUUUUUUGGUGAGAAAAUAGAAGCAGUCAGAAGAGACUUCCACAUGCUCUUACAUCACAUCCUGAACGUCUCCACCAAACUCCAGGCUCAACUCUCCACUCAGUGUUUACAUUUGGAUCAUCAAGAAGGUCCUCAAACUGAGGACUGCUAUUCUAUUCCCCUGAGUCUGCUCCUCACUUUUCCCUCCACCUCCUUUCUAAUCCAUUAUGAUUCCUCUUAACUAGGGCAAGAAAAGAAGCACCUCUAAAUAUGCUGAGAAGAGUCAAGCAGGUUACGAGGGCCUAGAGUCUAGAGCAGGAUCAUGCCAGUUAUCAGCAAUGCCGAAGAUGGGAAUUUUCACCCCAGAAGAAGGUACUUCCAGUAGAGAGGACUUCCCUACAUCUGUGUCCUGGACAUAUUAUCUGCAUCAUUUCUAUUCCCGUAAAAAGGAAAUUUUCAUUGCCUGGAAAGGCCUUCGUGUGACCGGCAAGAAGCUUUCUCCCAAUCUGGCAAGCAGACUUCUGAAAAGCCCCUGAUGUGAGAUUUGCUGUGAUAUGGAAAGCCCACUCCUAGUAAUCCAGCUGCACCUCAUUGUAAGAGAAAGGAGAUGUUACAGCAUUUACAAAAGACUUUGCUUUGCAGGUACUCAUAUACUCGUAACAGGUUUGCUCUAAA